rnacentral:tRNA from 1 species
UGUAAUGAAGCUCAGUUGGUUAGAGCACCCGUUUGGUAAGCGGGAGGUCUCAAGUUCAACUCUCAGUGAAA